ACAUGGUUCUGGAACCUCUGUAGAGCUCGACGCGGACGUUCUGCAAACCCUGGUGGAACAAAAUCCCAUCGUAACUGUUGAGGAACUAGCAGAGAAGCUUGGAUUUGGUU